rnacentral:rRNA from 1 species
AGUGAACGCUGGCGGUAGGCCUAACACAUGCAAGUCGAACGGCAGCACAGUAAGAGCUUGCUCUUACGGGUGGCGAGUGGCGGACGGGUGAGGAAUACAUCGGAAUCUACUUUUUCGUGGGGGAUAACGUAGGGAAACUUACGCUAAUACCGCAUACGACCUACGGGUGAAAGCAGGGGAUCUUCGGACCUUGCGCGAUUGAAUGAGCCGAUGUCGGAUUAGCUAGUUGGCGGGGUAAAGGCCCACCAAGGCGACGAUCCGUAGCUGGUCUGAGAGGAUGAGCAGCCACAGUGGAACUGAGACACAGUCCAGACUCAUACGGGAGGCAGCAGUGGGGAAUAUUGGACAAUGGGCGCAGGCCUGAACCAGCCAUACCGAGUGGAAGAAGAAGGCCUUCGGGUUGUAAAGCCCUUUUGUUGGGAAAGAAAAGCAGCAGGUUGAUAACCCGCUGUUCAGAAGGUACACGAAGAAUAAGCACAGGCUAACUUCGUG